GCAGCUCAAAUGGUAGAGCAAGGCGCUUACACUGCCAGGGUUAGGGGUUCGAUUCCCACUGGUAGAGCAAGGCA